AACCAGUACAACACAUCAGAGGAGGGACGAUGGGGACUGAUCCCAGCUGUGAGGAACUUCAGAAAGGCUCAUUAAGUCACCCGCUUCGGACGUUAUCACGGCAUUCAAUGGCCAUUAUCAGUGGUUGUCAGCUUAUACUUAUGGGCCAAUAGGUGCCUACUCCACCUACUGACAGCGGUGAGUAGGUGCAGCAGGUCGUCGUCAUCUAUUCCUAAAGUAGAUCACGGCUUGGAGGACCAAACCAACUGAAUCCAGAUCCACUAGAGGCGCUGUUGAACCCUUUUUCUUCACACGGGAGAAUCGACGCGCUGAUCAAGGCAGGAUGGAAGAAAGGGGCAGAACAAUAAUAACAGACCAGCAAAAACAAUCUUUAAAACACUUUUUUGAAAAAGGAAUGAGAAGUGUUGGGUCUCCAUUGGUACAAGCAGCUGCUGAAAUCACUGCGUUGCCGCCUUCUAUCAUAGAGGU